GCUCAAGGGACAGAUCAGUAAGGAGGGAGUGGGGCGAGGGCAAGUAGAGGCAUGUGGUGGGAACUAGGGAGAGUGGGGUGUAGAGGCGAUGCCAGUUAGUGUCCAAGGGCAGGGAGCGCUGGUUGGGCGGGCUGGGAUGGAGAGAGAGCGAAGGCAAUAAAGCCAGUGAGAUGGGCUGAGAUACCACAUAGGUGAAUCAAGGGAGAAUGAGGCACAUAGGGGUAUCUGGGCCAGCUAGUGUGGGGCAAGAGGACACAGAGGUGGUGGGCGUGGGACCCUGGGGAAUGAGGGGGACAAGUGUCUCUGUGCUUAUGGCUUGUAAAUGUCAGCUGAGGCCCAGGACCCCCAAACACUCACCCAGGAGGCUGUAUUUGACGACUCUGAGGAUGCCCUCACACUUACCGCCUCCUCAGCCUGCCUCUUGUAAGACUUGACCUUGGCCUGCAGCUUGUCCACCAGGUCCUGGAGUCUGAGGACAUUCUUACGGUCCUCCUCAGCCUGCAAAGACGGCAUCCGUGGUAGGCACCCACCCAUCCUGGCUCUCUUUGCCCAUGGGACACGGGCUGCAAUCCGUUGGUGAGCCUUCUACCUGUGGGCCCAGUUCUUGAUCAAGUUGGGCGGUAGGAGGUGUGGUGAAGACCUGGACCAGGAGUGGCCAAACAGACCAGGCCCCGUGGAUGGAUGGGAAGUCAAGAAACUCCAUCAGAGUCUGUUUGCUUUCCUUGGAAUGCUGUGAAAGAUAGUGGAACUCAGGAAACCGGGAGGAUUGGAAGGGGUCCUGCCUGGGGGAGGGGUGAUGGAAGGCUCCCUGCCUACCCAGAAUGCCAAGUUUCACAGAAGGUGGCAUGGGCCCUAAUCCCACACUAAGGGUGGGGAGGGUCUGUGUGCAGGACAGAUGGAAGCUCACUUAGAUGGUCCAGAACUGGGAGUAAGUGAACAUGAGCA